rnacentral:rRNA from 1 species
AUUGAACGCUGGCGGCAUGCCUUACACAUGCAAGUCGAACGGCAGCACGGGUGCUUGCACCUGGUGGCGAGUGGCGAACGGGUGAGUAAAACAUCGGAACAUGUCCUGUAGUGGGGGAUAGCCCGGCGAAAGCCGGAUUAAUACCGCAUACGAUCUACGGAUGAAAGCGGGGGACCUUCGGGCCUCGCGCUAUAGGGUUGGCCGAUGGCUGAUUAGCUAGUUGGUGGGGUAAAGGCCUACCAAGGCGACGAUCAGUAGCUGGUCUGAGAGGACGACCAGCCACACUGGGACUGAGACACGGCCCAGACUCCUACGGGAGGCAGCAGUGGGGAAUUUUGGACAAUGGGCGAAAGCCUGAUCCAGCAAUGCCGCGUGUGUGAAGAAGGCCUUCGGGUUGUAAAGCACUUUUGUCCGGAAAGAAAUCCUUGGCUCUAAUACAGUCGGGGGAUGACGGUACCGGAAGAAUAAGCACCGGCUAACUACGUG